GCCACUCUGAACCAUGCAUUAGUUCCUUGGGAUUACGAGCUCGUGUUCGCCAAAGAACGUUCUGGACUAGUGUCAUCCCUGCACUCUAUAGAAGCAAUAUCUUCCUAUCGAUCUUUAUUUUAUGUGGGUGCGUAGGAGUGCCGAAGAUCCUGAGGAUGCCACAGAUCCCUCACACAUUCUACGAUCAUCAACUCCCGUUGUGGAGGAUGUAGUCCCUAUCAGUGAAUGCUUCAUUAAAGAAGUGCUGGAAAGUGCUGAACACCCAUCACAAGUCAUGGAAGAAAGGGAGUCGCUCUGGGAUGAUGAACCCUCAUCUUCUGAUGAAAAUUCAGAGGGUGAUGAAUGAUGCCACGACCACCUGCAGCGAGAAGCCGUUCUCGACCCCAACAACGGCACCGACCUCAGCGAUUCCCUGGGAACUCUCCUGCUCGGAGGCCUUCCCCGUCACCCAGAUCCCCAAACAGAUCAAACAGACACCCCACCGAGCCUCCAGCGGUGUACACGGAACAAGAAAGAAGCGCCCUCUGCCCCUUCUGCGGUGUUCCACUAAUCCACCCUCCGACCCAUAAUGCGGGAGCCCUUUACCUGCAUCGUAUCCAACAAGCCGCACAGCCGAGGGCAGCAGCUAACAACGUGGCCUCCGCUCCUACACGUCGGGACAUAGUCGCUGCAGUGAACCUACUUCGGCAGCUGGCCCCCCAAGUUCUCGCUCGGCCAUCCUUCUCACCGGACCCUGAGGAUAUAAUCCUCGACCUCCCCGAACUUCCGGACAUUUGCCUCAAGGGGGGAGAGUGUGGGGGGCGCUGAUAAACCGGCAACUUCCGCGCGAUAGCGCAGAUAGCGCAAGAGAUAAAAGAGCGAGCGCUCGGGAAAAGAGGAUAUUCGUGCGGCAGGCAGGCUGGCAGACGGUCACAGAAGCGAGGAGCGACGAAGCGGGCAGACGGCCAGCAGCUGUGAUGUAAGGCAAUAAACCUUGUUUCUUUUGUUCAA